CCUACGGGAGGCAGCAGUGGGGAAUAUUGCACAAUGGCGGAAACCCUGAUGCAGCGACGCCGCGUGAGUGAAGAAGUAUUUCGGUAUGUAAAGCUCUAUCAGCAGGGAAGAAAAUGACGGUACCUGAUUAAGAAGCCCCGGCUAACUACGUGCCAGCAGCCGCGGUAACACGUAGGGGGCAACCGUGAUCCGGAGUUACUGGGUGUAAAGGGAGCGUAGACGGCAGCACAAGGCUGGAGUGAAAUGCAGGGGCUUAACCCCGGAACUGCUUUGGAAACUGUGGAGCUCGAGUGCAGGAGAGGUAAGUGGAAUGCGUAGUGUAGCGGUGAAAUGCGUAGAUAUUAGGAGGAACACCAGUGGCGAAGGCGGCUUACUGGACUGUAACUGACGUUGAGGCUCGAAAGCGUGGGGAGCAAACAGGAUUAGAUACCCCAGUAGUC
rnacentral:rRNA from 1 species